rnacentral:tRNA from 3 species
UGCGGCGUAGGGGAGCGGUCGUUCCCGCCAGUCUCAUAAGCUGGAGAUCGCCGGUUCGAAUCCGGCCGCCGCUA